GAUGAACGCUGGCGGCGUGCCUAAUGCAUGCAAGUCGAGCGAACAGACGAGGAGCUUGCUCCUCUGACGUUAGCGGCGGACGGGUGAGUAACACGUGGAUAACCUACCUAUAAGACUGGGAUAACUUCGGGAAACCGGAGCUAAUACCGGAUAAUAUAUUGAACCGCAUGGUUCAAUAGUGAAAGACGGUUUUGCUGUCACUUAUAGAUGGAUCCGCGCCGCAUUAGCUAGUUGGUAAGGUAACGGCUUACCAAGGCAACGAUGCGUAGCCGACCUGAGAGGGUGAUCGGCCACACUGGAACUGAGCCACGGUCCAGACUCCUACGGGAGGCAGCAGUAGGGAAUCUUCCGCAAUGGGCGAAAGCCUGACGGAGCAACGCCGCGUGAGUGAUGAAGGUCUUCGGAUCGUAAAACUCUGUUAUUAGGGAAGAACAAAUGUGUAAGUAACUAUGCACGUCUUGACGGUACCUAAUCAGAAAGCCACGGCUAACUACGUG
rnacentral:rRNA from 1 species